rnacentral:rRNA from 1 species
GAUGAACGCUGGCGGCGUGCUUAACACAUGCAAGUCGAACGAAGACAUCUGAGUGCUUGCACUUGGAUGGACUGAGUGGCGGACGGGUGAGUAACGCGUGGGUAACCUGCCUUAUACAGGGGGAUAACAGUUGGAAACGACUGCUAAUACCGCAUAAGCGCACGGUAUCGCAUGAUACAGUGUGAAAAACUCCGGUGGUAUAAGAUGGACCCGCGUCUGAUUAGCUUGUUGGUGAGGUAACGGCCCACCAAGGCGACGAUCAGUAGCCGGCCUGAGAGGGUGAACGGCCACAUUGGGACUGAGACACGGCCCAAAACUCCUACGGGGAGGCAGCAGUGGGGGAUAUUGGACAAUGGGGGAAACCCUGAUCCAGCGAUGCCGCGUGAGGGAAGAAAGGUUUUCGGAUUGUAAACCUCUGUGGACAGGGACGAUAAUGACGGUACCUGUUUAGAAAGCCACGGCUAACUACGUG